CGGAAUACGUACACAACCUUCCUUUAAGUGGGGGAUAGCCCAGAGAAAUUUGGAUUAAUACCCCGUAAGAUUAUGAGAUGGCAUCAUUUUAUAAUUAAAGCUCCGGCGCUUGGAGAUGGGUGUGCGGCUGAUUAGGUAGUUGGUGUGGGUAAUGGCCCACCAAGCCUUCGAUCAGUAACUGGUGUGAGAGCACGACCAGUCACACGGGCACUGAGACACGGGCCCG
rnacentral:rRNA from 1 species